UUCUGGUUGAUCCUGCCGGAGGUCACUGCUAUUGGGAUUCGACUAAGCCAUGCGAGUUGGGAGGGUUUGGCCCUCAGCAGACGGCUCAGUAACACGUAGAUAAUUUGCCCUUAGGUGGAGGAUACCCUCGGGAAACUGAGAAUAAUACUCCAUAGAUCUAGAAUGCUGGAAUGCUUUUAAAUUGAAAGAUUCAUCGCCUAAGGAUAAGUCUGCGGACUAUCAGGUUGUAGUCAGGGUAAAUACCUGACUAGCCUACGACGGAUACGGGUAGUGAGAGCUUUAGCCCGGAGAUGAUAUCUGAGACACGAUAUCAGGCCCUACGGGGCGCAGCAGGCGCGAAAACUUCGCACUGUGCGAAAGCACGACGAGGGAAUCCCAAGUGCUGGCUCGUAAGAGUCAG
rnacentral:rRNA from 1 species